GGGGACCAGGACCGGAAGAUGUUGCCACAAAACGGAGGUGAGCGUCAGGCCCGUGACCCGCUGCUUAGUAUGUGGCAAUGAUGCUGUUCCUUUCUGAUGACAGUGAAGACGUCCCCCCGAGUCGCGUCCUCCCAUCUGAGACACGAGCCCGGAUAUUCCUCCCAAACAGAGCCUUCACGCAGCUGCCUGUUAGCCACCAAGCCCUGGGCUGUGGUGUGGAGGCGUCUUGACCCGGCUGAGAAAAAUCUACCUUAUGGAAUCUCAACAAGGAGGACACCUAAGGGUGAUGGAAAAUGACCCCACUGUAGUUAUUCUGGGUUUUAGGUGCUAAUAUCUGAGCCCCCUGUAGCACCGGCCUUCAGUAAACUCAUGUUUCAGCACCUGGUGAGUGGGGCUGAGCUCUGCCCCAAGUGACAAGCUCC